GCGCAUGCGCGACCCCGGGGGGGCGGCCCUGGCCCCGCCCCCCGGGAGGGACCCACGGUGGACAGGGCGUGUCCCCGGUGCUCCCACCAGGGGCUGUGGUUCCACACGCGGCAGAUGCGCUCGGCCGACGAGGGCCAGACCGUGUUCUACACCUGCCCCCGCUGCAGGUUCCAGGAGAAGGAAGAUUCCUGAAAUUCCCAAUUUUGGGGGAUUUUUUGGGGGGGAAGAAUUUGGGGGAUUUUUUAAAAAAUUAUUUUUGGGAUUUUGGGGG